AGUAAUUGACGUAGGGUACAGAGGUAGGAUGUUCUAUUUUUAAAAUCUAUUACUUUAUGUAAUAAGAUAAGCUAAUUAUUAAGCUGCUCUAGUCAAAUAAUUGACUGGAGCAUUUUUUA
rnacentral:other from 1 species